rnacentral:sRNA from 1 species
ACUGGGCACAGUGGUGCAUGCCUGUAAUCCCAGUGCUUUGGGAGGCUGAGACAGGAGGAUUGUGAGUUCAAAGCCAGCCUCAGCAAAAAGUGAGACGCUAAGCAACUUAGUGAGACCUUGUCUCUA